GUUGGCAUUUUUAUAGCAAAUCUGGGAGCCUGUGAAAACCACACGUGGUGGCAUGUAAAUAGUGGUUCUUGGGUCUUCUGCACGUGUCAAAUCCUAAAUGCAUAGGGAAUGUGAGAAUCAAUGAGUUUGGAGAAAUCUAUCAAUACUGCAUCCUACAUUUAAUAAUGAUAUCUGAAGAAAAUAGUUAAAGUGCCUUUAAGAAAAAGGUUAGAGGAAGAUGAAAGUGUCUUAGGUAAUCGAGGUGAUUCAACACUUAAUUGUAUAUGCAAAAUAGCGCUCACAUUUCCAAAGAGCUUCAAAGGGGAAAAGUGGACAGAAAGAAUAAAAUUUGAGUCCUGUAGAAGAGUAAGACCAAACAGCUAACUACGAACUGAUCAGCCUUCUGGUAAGAGAAAAAAUCAAUAAUUGCCCUGCAAACCAGUUUCAGGACUCAUUAGGAAGUAAAAGAGCGACUCUUCCUGCAGCAACAGCUCACAUGAAGAGCUAAUAUUUAACAUCCAGAAGCUGCUGGAGGGCUGAGGGUGGAGAAGCAACCCGGAGCUGAAUAAACAAACAGCUAUGAUUUCACAGAAUAAUGGACAAUAUAUGAACAAUGUAAGCAGCAUACUGGGAAAUGCAGGCAAUGCUCAAGUAUUUCCCACAGCUAAAAUGCUUUAUCCACUAGUUUGUCAGCACCUGCAGACCAGACUUUGUCUCAGGGGCCCCUCUUACCACCACAUCUGCUCAGAGCAGGUACUCAGUACAGCAAGCUGUGUGGGAGAGCUGCCAGCACAUUACUAUCCAAAGCCACAUCUCCCCAAAAAAUGUUAAGGUGUCUUGCACCCACUUUCCUGCUGGGCAUAAUCUGGUCUUUUUGUUGUUAUUGUUGUUGUUGUCAGGUCAGUAUAGUAGUCUCCCUUUCUUUGUGGAAAAUAUAUUCUAAGACUAACCCCCCCCCCCCUCCAGUGGAUGCCUGAAACCUUACGUAGUACCCAACUCUAUAUAUCCUAUGUUUUCCCUAUAUAUUCAUACCGUUUCACUUAAAGGAAGCAUCUUACAGCUUCUCUUUGGCACACCCUGAAUUGCCAGCAUCACUACUUUUUGUGCGUUGGGGCCAUUAGUAAGUACAAUAAGAGUUACUUGAACACACGCACUUGGAUACCACACGGUGGAUCUGAUAACCAAGACAGCUACUAAGCGACUAAUGGGGAGGGGGAAGUGGACACAGCAUGGAGACGCUGGACAAGGGGAUGACUCACCUAAGGUAAGGAACCAGAGCGGUACAACUCGAGAUUUCAUUCCAUUACUCAGAACAGUGGGUAAUUUAAAACUUCUGAAGUGUUUAUUUCUAUUUCUAAAAUUAACAUUUUUGAGCUGCAGUUGACUGCAGGUAACUAAGAACCCAGAAAGCAAAAUUACGGGUAAGGGAAGGACUACUGUGUUGCUAUUACAGAUAUAUUAUUAUCUUCUGCCACAAUGCUGUCCUUCAAGAUUUCUGAUGUGUGUGGGAGUAAGCUUGCCUUUUUAUUGAAUUCCCCCAGAUUGCUAUUUCUGAUUGUUGUCAUUGACAUUAACUUUUCCCAGCCUCAGAGAUGAGCUUUGGCCAUGGAUAUAUGUAAUACGUAUUGACCUACUCUAUUCCAGAGACCGUGUGAGAUUUACUCCAACACAGAAUCAAAUCACAGCAUUUCAGAGCUGGGGUGAAGUUUCAAGAUAAUCUAAUCACCCUACAAUUAAAAACAUUUUAAAAUAAAAAAUGAACUUAUUGAAAACCCCCCUUAUUCCCCAAAAGAUAAUCUAAUCAAGCCGUUUCAUCUACAACUAGAAAGAGGAGGCGUACAGAGAGCCUGGGCCAAGGUCACAUCAAGGCUUAGUGGCAAGAGAGCCAUUAGGAUCUAGCUCUCCUGAUUUCUUAUUCACGUCUUUGGGUCUCACUCAACAUUCUGCACAAUAAUAAUAUUUCGCAUCUUCAAAGCACUUCAAAGGUCUCAAAUCACUGUCACCUAAAUUGCUCCAUCCUGCCAAAGAUGAGAGUAAUAAUAAUUAUCCUUGCAACUAGGCACUUGCUGGCAACUUAGAGCAAACCAGUCACUACGGGCGUGCUUUUGCCUCCUUUCGUUAGUACUCACAAUAAUCCUCUUCCUGCGAUACUAUUAUUCUCACUCUUUUAUAGAUCAGGGAUGUAGGCUGGAAGGAGGUGAAAUAACUUGCCCAAAGCCACGCAGCCAGGAAGUGGAGCAGUUCAGAAGCUUCCUCAUCGCCUGAUGCCAGAGCCACAGCAAGGACUGAAUCUGGCUGCCCACUGUACCUUCCUCACAAAUGCCCUCUGGAGCAGACAAAGAAGGAAUUGUACCAAACAUCUCAAAGCCAUGCUUUGCUUGUAGCUUCAAGAUUAAUUUUAUAGGAAUUUUACUGCCGUUCGAGCCUAGCAUAUAGGCGAAUUCCCUAAAGAAGAGAAUAUAGAGAAAGCAGCCUCGAGCGACACUUGUGCAGUUAAGGGACAAGAGCAGGAAGAGAUGCUAAUACAUAAUUAGGAGUGACUAUCCUAUUCCAUGUAGCUGUCAGCUUGAAAAUGUACUGAUUUCAUUUAAAUUUAAAGUAUAGUGUGUAAGAUGAAAACUAUGAUUAUGUUAAAUAGUUUACACACACACACACACACACACACACACACGAUUUUAAUGAAACAAUUGCUGACUAGUUUGCUUUGUCACCAGUCAUGACUUGAGCAGGUACAUGCAGACAUUUGGGCUCAAUGCUUAGCACCCAGAUGGACCAAUUUGGAAGCAGUGGUGACCUUGACAAUGGCUGCUGUGGACCCCAAAACCAACCACCAGUAUUUGAUGCGGGAAUCUAUCUUUCAUCUUCAACCAUCAUAUGGAACCAGUUUACAAGGUCACAAGCAUUCUGGCAACUUUAUGAAGCCUUUCUAACCCCAUCCCCAGAAAGAAGAAUUUCUCCCCUGCCAAAUGUUCCCCCAAAGAAGUUUGUGUAAACCUGUAUUAGCUAAUCUCAUUGUUCGGGUGGUAAUUUAUCUGUUUAUCCCUACAGCUAAGUAGUAAACACUGUAGAUGGUUCUGAAAAGAAUUUAGAAUCAGAUAUUUCCUGGUUCAGCCUCUUACUCGGUGUGACCUUGGGAAAGUUAGUCAACCUCUCUGUGCUUCUAUUAUCUCAUCUGUAAAACAAGCAUAAUAAGACCCAUCUCCGGUGAUGACUGGGAAUUAAACAAGGUCAGUGAGUACAGGGCAGCACUCAAUAAAUAGCAGCUUUUCUGAAGACAGUUCCUGCCCUUGAACCUCUCACCAUCUAGCAUUGGGAGGCACACAAAUUGGCAUCUAAAAUUCCUGGGAAUUUUAUGACAUAGGGCUACAAAGAGGGCUGUAAGAGCACAGAGUUAAACCUACUCCAUUUGGAGAACAUCGUUUCAAGAAAAUGUCCCAGAGGGAGAAUGAGGAAGAAUUAGCCAGACAGAGGGCACAGCUAAGUUUGCCCCAGGCAAUGGAGUUCAUGAGAGAGAACGUAGCAUGUUCAAGGAAUGCAAGUGGUAUGUGGUAACUGAAGUUAUGGUUUGAGUUAUGGUGAGGGAUGAGGCUGCAGAAGCAGGUGGUGGUGUAGAAAGAGCAUAAGUUUUAUUUUUUAAAAUAUUUUUUUAUUGAUUCCAAAGUGUGGGAUGGAGAGAGAGAGAGAGAGAGAGAGAGAGAGAGAGAGAGAGAGAGAGAUCAAUGGUAAGAGAGAAUCAUUAAUCUGUUGCCUCCUGCACACCUUCUACUGGGGAUCAAGCCUGCAACCCAGGCAUAUGCCCUUGGCCGGGAUGGAACUUAGGACUCUUUGGUCUGAAGGCUGACAAGCAUAAGUUUUAGAAUCAGGCAGUGAGAAAUUCCAGCUUCACCAUUUUCCAGCCAUAUAUCUUCAACCAAAUGAUUUCUAUCUGAGCCUCAGUUUCCCCGAUUGUGAUUACGUGAACUAAUGUCUGUAAAGUUCCUAGCACAGAAUACACAUAUCUUUCAAACAAGAUAAAAAGUAGGCAGGUCAGUGUGAAGGAAAGUCAAUGGGGAAAAAAGGGGGGAGGAAUAUCUGUCAUAUAUUCAACAAUAAAGAUACCUUUUAAAAAGUAUAACAAAUAUUAGUUAUCUCUGUUUAUCUAGAAUAAGUGUGGUAGUCAUCCCAUAAUAUAUACCCAUUUUUAUUGAGUCAAAGGAAGGAUGAUAGAAUGGGUGGAUUCACUCACUUAACACAUAUUCAUUAGAUACCAUUCAUGUGCUGGACACUGUUCUAGUCAUGGGGAUACAGCAGUGAAAAAUAAGACAAAAAUCUCUGCCCUGGUGGGACAUGCAGUUUAUGAACCGAGAUGGAAAAGAGGCCACUGGUGUCUGUAAAGGGACAGUCCACAUCAUGGCCCAUGGGGCUCCAGGCUUAUCUGAUGAAAGGCUAAUAUUCUGAAGAAGCAAGGUUUCCGGAGGUCUGGAUGUGGGUCCCUCCUCCUAACAAUCAGGAGACUCUUGUCCCUCCCUUAAUCACUCUUCACUUAUCAACCCUCAGCUUCCUGUUUUGAUCCAGGGGAGCUGGUUAGUUGUGUUGUUUGGCAGGAAGAAAUGUCAAGAAGGGCUCAGUUCUUUCUCGGGCUCUGGGUCUAAAGUGAUGGCAAGAGGAAGUAGGAAAGCAGCACACACAAAAAAGCUGUGGAGAGGGAGAUUUGCCUAUCUCAGAAGCCAAGUGAUAAGUGAGCUCAAAUGCCUUGUGGUGCAUACAGGUUUUAUUUCACUGGUAGGAAAAUCAUAUUCACACGUGUUUAUCUCUUUACAAAAGGGUUUGCCUAGGGGCUCU